rnacentral:rRNA from 1 species
UUAUGGUGGGCACUCUAAGGAGACUGCCGGUGACAAACCGGAGGAAGGUGGGGAGUGACGUCAAGUCAUCAUGGCCCUUACGGCCUGGGCUACACACGUGCUACAAUGGUCGGUACAAAGGGUUGCCAAGCCGCGAGGUGGAGCUAAUACCCAUAAAACCGAUCGUAGUCCGGAUCGCAGUCUGCAACUCGACUGCGUGAAGUCGGAAUCGCUAGUAAUCGUGAAUCAGAAUGUCACGGUGAAUACGUUCCCGGGCCUU